UACGAAGGGGGCUAGCGUUGCUCGGAAUUACUGGGCGUAAAGGGCGCGUAGGCGGAUAGUUUAGUCAGAGGUGAAAGCCCAGGGCUCAACCUUGGAAUUGCCUUUGAUACUGGCUAUCUUGAGUUCGGGAGAGGUGAGUGGAACUGCGAGUGUAGAGGUGAAAUUCGUAGAUAUUCGCAAGAACACCAGUGGCGAAGGCGGCUCACUGGCCCGGUACUGACGCUGAGGUGCGAAAGCGUGGGGAGCAAACAGG
rnacentral:rRNA from 1 species